rnacentral:rRNA from 1 species
GACGAACCGUGCGAACGUUGUUCGGAAUCACUGGGCAUAAAGGGCGCGUAGGCGGCUUAUCAAGUCAGGGGUGAAAUCCGGCAGCUCAACUGUCGAAGUGCCUUUGAUACUGAUGAGCUCGAGGGAGGUAGGGGUAUGCGGAACUUCCGGUGGAGCGGUGAAAUGCGCAGAUAUCAGGAAGAACACCCGUGGCUAAGGCGGCUCUCUAGUACGGUACUGACGCUGAGACGCGAAAGCGUGGGGAGCGAACAGG